GGUGUCAGCUGGUGCUGGUCAUGGUGAUACAGCUGUCAUACACUUAACUGCUUGUGUCAUUGCUCGACAUAGGCCCCUGCUUGACACGUCAUUUUGGAAAUCACACGGGAGGUCUGCACAAACAUAAGUAGGUGGCCGUGGACAAGCUGUUGACCUUCUGACUCUUGUUUUCUUCUUGUGAUAAAACAAGGCCUCUAAAGAUUCUUCCAGUCCCUGGCAUUCACCCUCUCAAUCAGGAGAGGGUGUCAGGACUUUGAACUUGGCCCUGGUUAAUAACAACAUGUUUAAUCAAUUAAAUCUGAAAAAAAUAAAGUGUAUUUACGAAAUAGA